CCCAAGUGUGGGAUAAGAAGCUGGUUCACAGAAGAUACACAAAUGCAGGACCAGCCUUGAACAUACUGACCAGUCGGAACGGGUCAGCCCAAAGCGGGAUAUCUCCAGCAGGAGAAAAAGCCCAUCUGGCUUUUGUCUUGGAGUAGGAGGUUUCCUGUAACCCUCCUGCUUGAUCCUGCCUGCCUCUCAUAACCACACCUCUCUGCCCACCUCCUGCUAUUUGCCACGCCUCUCUCCUGGUUCCAUUUACAUCGGAAGUCCUACCUCCAGAGACCAAAUAAGGAGCUGCAGAUUGGGCCAGCAUGCUGACGAACUUGGGGGAGGGGUUUUUCCUCACCUAUUCUACCUGUUGGCUUGUAACAAAGAGAUUAU